CAGCAGUAGGGAAUCUUCGGCAAUGGACGGAAGUCUGACCGAGCAACGCCGCGUGAGUGAAGAAGGUUUUUCGGAUCGUAAAGCUCUGUUGUUAGAGAAGAAUGAUGGUGGGAGUGGAAAAUCCACCAUGUGACGGUAACUAACCAGAAAGGGACGGCUAACUACGUGCCAGCAGCCGCGGUAAUACGUAGGUCCCGAGCGUUGUCCGGAUUUAUUGGGCGUAAAGCGAGCGCAGGCGGUUCUUUAAGUCUGAAGUUAAAGGCAGUGGCUCAACCAUUGUACGCUUUGGAAACUGGAGAACUUGAGUGCAGAAGGGGAGAGUGGGAAUUCCAUGUGUAGCGGUGAAAUGCGUAGAUAUAUGGAGGAACACCGGUGGCGAAAGCGGCUCUCUGGUCUGUAACUGACGCUGAGGCCCGAAAGCGUGGGGAGCAAACAGGAUUAGAUACCCUCGGUAG
rnacentral:rRNA from 1 species